rnacentral:rRNA from 1 species
CGGUAAUACGGAGGGAGCUAGCGUUGUUCAAAGGUACUGGGCGUGCGAAACACGUAGGCGGCGCAGCAAGUCAGGGGUAGGACUUUGGGGCUCAACCCCGGAACUGCCCUUGAAACUGCAGUGCUAGAAUCUUGGAGAGGCGAGUGGAAUUCCGAGUGUAGAGGUGUUUAACGUAGAUAUUCGGAAGAACACCAGUGGCGAAGGCGACUCGCUGGACAAGUAUUGACGCUGAGGUGCGAAAGCGUGGGGAGCAAACGAAGUUAGAUACCCUGGUAGUCCACGCCGUAAACGAUGAUAACUAGCUGUCCGGGCACAUGGUGCUUGGGUGGCGCAGCCAACGCAAAUUGUUAUCCGCCUGGGGAGUACGGUCGCAAGAUUAAA